GAUGAACGCUGGCGGCGUGCCUAAUACAUGCAAGUCGAGCGAACAGACGAGGAGCUUGCUCCUCUGACGUUAGCGGCGGACGGGUGAGUAACAUGUGGAUAACCUACCUAUAAGACUGGGAUAACUUCGGGAAACCGGAGCUAAUACCGGAUAAUAUAUUGAACCGCAUGGUUCAAUAGUGAAAGACGGUUUUGCUGUCACUUAUAGAUGGAUCCGCGCCGCAUUAGCUAGUUGGUAAGGUAACGGCUUACCAAGGCAACGAUGCGUAGCCGACCUGAGAGGGUGAUCGGCCACACUGGAACUGAGACACGGUCCAGACUCCUACGGGAGGCAGCAGUAGGGAAUCUUCCGCAAUGGGCGAAAGCCUGACGGAGCAACGCCGCGUGAGUGAUGAAGGUCUUCGGAUCGUAAAACUCUGUUAUUAGGGAAGAACAAAUGUGUAAGUAACUAUGCACGUCUUGACGGUACCUAAUCAGAAAGCCACGGCUAACUACGU
rnacentral:rRNA from 1 species